AUCGGUGACAGGUGGUGGCAUGGUUGUCGUCAGCUCGUGUCGUGAGAUGUUGGUUAAGUCCGCAACGAGCGCAACCCCUAUUGUUAGUUGCCAUCAUUCAGUUGGGCACUCUAGCGAGACUGCCGGUAAUAAACCGGAGGAAGGUGGGGAUGACGUCAAAUCAUCAUGCCCCUUAUGACCUGGGCUACACACGUGCUACAAUGGUUGGUACAACGAGUUGCGAGUCGGUGACGGCGAGCUAAUCUCUUAAAGCCAAUCUCAGUUCGGAUUGUAGGCUGCAACUCGCCUACAUGAAGUCGGAAUCGCUAGUAAUCGCGGAUCAGCACGCCGCGGUGAAGACGUUCCCGGGCCUU
rnacentral:rRNA from 1 species